rnacentral:rRNA from 1 species
GACGAACGCUGGCGGCGUGCUUAACACAUGCAAGUCGAACGGAAAGGCCCUGCUUUUGUGGGGUGCUCGAUUGGCGAACGGGUGAGUAACACGUGAGUAACCUGCCCUUGACUUUGGGGUAACUUCAGGAAACUGGGGCUAAUACCCGAUAGGAGCUCCUGCUGCAUGGUGGUGGUUGGAAAGUUUCGGCGGUUGGGGAUGGACUCGCGGCUUAUCCGCUUGUUGGUGUGGUAGUGGCUUACCAAGGCUUUGACGGGUAGCCGGCCUGAGAGGGUGACCGGCCACAAUGGGACUGAGAGACGGACCAGACGCCUACGGGAGGCAGCAGUCGGGAAUAUGGCACAAUGGGCGGAAGCCUGAUGCAGCAACGCCGCGUGCGGGAUGACGGCCUUCGGGUUGUAAACCGCUUUCGCCGGUGACGAAGCGUGAGUGACGGUAAUGGGUAAAGAAGCACCGGCUAACUACGUG